CAAAGUCUACAGCAUCAUCAAGUUGGCUACAGAUACUAUACUUCUCUGCAUCUUUUUCCAGGUUGAUUUUUUUCAUGUGAUUGUUUUCCUCAAUUUCCUGUUGUCAUUGAAGAAUUUAGAAUCACAUUUGGCAGCUUCAUGAAAGCACACCGACACAUUUAUAUUUCGGUGGGAGACGGAAGCAAACCUAAACCUUCAGUAAAGUCUUCAGUGAUCGAUACAGUUCGCUCCUGAUUUGUGAUGUUCUGUCAUAGAUAUUUCAUCCUAAUGCUUGUAAAAUCAUGCUGUGACACUGGAAACUUGGCUAAUGCUGCAAGUUGGCCAACAGGGGAAUAUAGUCUACCAAAACCUAUAACAGGAUGUCCAGAUGAUUCCUGGAAAGAAGGAUGGCUAAGACAAGAAAUGGAAAAUGAUGACAUCAAUGACACAGUAAAUGUAAAAAGUAAAUUUUCUUCAAACUUUCAUAUGAAUGCAAGUAUUGUUAAUGGAACUGAAGGUAGACAAUAUGAGUUUGUUGACAGAGAAUUCUGUACAAAGAGUUUGACAUUUAGAAAUAAAACUUCUUGGAAAUAUUGGCCAAAAGGAAUGUAUUGUAUUUACCAAAAGAAUAAUUGUCAAUAUGACAUGAAUGAAGGCUGGAUCAAAUUUGAUGAUGAAGAUAAUUUUGAUGGUGUAAAUAGAAAUAAGCAUGCAGGAAUUUUACCCAUAUUUUCACGGAGGGUCUCAACAAUAGGAGCAACCACACUAUUUUACUGCUGUCAAACAAAAGGAAAAUGGUACAACCCAGUUGAGUUGCCGACAAAGAAACCCUUUUAUUUGUUACCUUACAAAACACCCAACUGUCAGCGCGUAAGGUGGACGAUCAGCUCUCUCGAAUACAUCGUUUAUGACACUGAAAAUGAACUAAAUAGUGACAAGUUCUUUGGACAUCAUGUAUACACUGAUAAAGUGAAAAGCUUACCAAAAAUAUUUUACUGUUAUUACGCAGGAUGUCGGCAUAAGCUUCAUGGAAACACUGGAUCGUUCAGGUCGCCAAAUCUUAAUAAUUCCUUUUCUGAUUUCCAUUCUUGUUCAUGGGCAAUAAAUGUUGAUUUGACUAAAAAAAUUUCAUUGAGAUUCAAACAGUUAAAUCUCCUGGACUGUGAACAUAAUUAUUUGAAAAUUUAUGCUGGUCAAAGUGAAAACAGUUCGAUGUUGUUGGCUGUAUAUUGUGGCAGAAAUGCAACUUCUGGUGCUCAGAUGAUUUCUACAACAAAUGAAUUAUUCAUUGUCAUGAAACAUAGACAAACUAACAGUUCAAGCACAACAGAUAUUGGUUUUUAUGCCGAUUACAUAACUUUUGCAAAUAUAAAAACUCUCAAACCAACAACAAAAAAGCACACCCCUUCAAGUUAAUCAUAUGUCACAAAUGGCACAAUUAGGAGUGAAGAAGAGAGUACGCUUGACGGAGGGAAAAAGGGAAAGCUAUUAUUAAACAUACUAAUAUCAGUCCUUGCAUUGGUGUUCAUUUUAGUUCUUGGUGUCGUCUUCUGCAUAUAUUUCAUAAAGCGAAAGCAACAUGCAGGUUUACAGAAGGAAGUUGCUGACAUGAAUAUUUUAAACAACAAAAUGUACAAAAAUUCGAAUUCUUUAUCCUCAAAACAAAUUCAAUCUGGCGAUGACGACGUAAACUCUAAAGAAACAUCAAAUCCAAUCUAUGCUUCCAAGUUUAGUGAUGGAUAUUCAACUAUAAAUGAUUUAGAGUUGUUUAAUGCAAAUGAAAAUAUCUUGUAUGAGCCGGGGAAUCCGCAAGAGAGAAGUUUGCAGAUUGACAAUAAUGACUCGUUGUUGUUGAAUGCAAAUGAUAAUACGCUAUAUGAGCAUGCACAUCCACAAGAGAACAAUUUGAAAAGUGGCGAGGAAGGAAAAUCCUGAUACUUAAAGAAUAUUGAACAAUAAUCUUAAAUAUUGCAUCUCUCAUUCUUUACUUGCAGCCAUACUCUUGAGAUUUAUCAAACAAUGAUACAGGCCUCCUUUAACUGGUAUCACAACAAUAAUACUGAAAAAUAUUUUUUGUAUCACACAAUGAAUGUAGCUGGUCAAGAUUUGUAAUUCAAGAAUAUGUAGGCGAACUUCUUCAAAACUAAUAAAGCUGACGAUACAA